rnacentral:rRNA from 1 species
GAUGAACGCUGGCGGCGUGCCUAAUACAUGCAAGUCGAGCGAACAGACGAGGAGCUUGCUCCUCUGACGUUAGCGGCGGACGGGUGAGUAACACGUGGAUAACCUACCUAUAAGACUGGGAUAACUUCGGGAAACCGGAGCUAAUACCGGAUAAUAUAUUGAACCGCAUGGUUCAAUAGUGAAAGACGGUUUUGCUGUCACUUAUAGAUGGAUCCGCGCCGCCUUAGCUAGUUGGUAAGGUAACGGCUUACCAAGGCAACGAUGCGUAGCCGACCUGAGAGGGUGAUCGGCCACACGGGAACUGAGACACGGUCCAGACUCCUACGGGAGGCAGCAGUAGGGAAUCUUCCGCAAUGGGCGAAAGCCUGACGGAGCAACGCCGCGUGAGUGAUGAAGGUCUUCGGAUCGUAAAACUCUGUUAUUAGGGAAGAACAAAUGUGUAAGUAACUAUGCACGUCUUGACGGUACCUAAUCAGAAAGCCACGGCUAACUACGUG